UGGGGGAUAUUGCACAAUGGGCGAAAGCCUGAUGCAGCGACGCCGCGUGGGGGAUGAAGGCUUUCGGGUUGUAAACCUCUUUCGCUAUCGAACAAGGCCCGCUUAGGGUGGGGUGAGGGUAGGUGGAGAAGAAGCGCCGGCUAACUACGUGCCAGCAGCCGCGGUAAUACGUAGGGCGCGAGCGUGGUCCGGAAUUAUUGGGCGUAAAGGGCUUGUAGGCGGCUUGUUGCGCCUUCUGUGAAAACGCGGGGCUUAACUUCGCGCGUGCAGUGGGUACGGGCAGGCUUGAGUGUGGUAGGGGUGACUGGAAUUCCAGGUGUAGCGGUGGAAUGCGCAGAUAUCUGGAGGAACACCGAUGGCGAAGGCAGGUCACUGGGCCAUUACUGACGCUGAGGAGCGAAAGCAUGGGUAGCGAACAGG
rnacentral:rRNA from 1 species